AGGCCUUGACAUGUUAGUGGUACGAACCUGAAAGGGGGAGGACCUGCCUUCGGGUAGGAGCUAACAC
rnacentral:rRNA from 1 species